CUGGAUUUGGUGAAAACUAGUGGGGCUAUUUUACAUAAAGGCUUGUGAGUAGGUAUACUGUCUGUAGGUUGAAUUCAGUAUAAAUUUGUCGAUGUAUUUUGUUGGGUAUUUUGCAUGAUCUAAAAGUUUGAUUUAUGCAAGGAUAAAUAAUUAAAUAUCUUACAGUUUUCAUGUCCAUUGUCCAUUUGCAUAUAAUUGAGCUGCAGAAAUAGGGACAGAAUACCCUAUUUAUCUAACUUUGCCAACUAGUCAUACAAUAUGUCUACCUAGUUUGGCUGUUUAUGCUAGGGCUCUUGUAAGUUGUUCUGUUGUGUCCUCUAUUAUCCUUUUCUUUUCUUGUUCUUGUGCUACUUGCAAUUUUGUAAUGAGUAUGUGCACAGGAUGCAGUUAAUUCGAAAUAUUUGCAUAUCACUGUAUUUUUCUUUGAUAUAAGUAUAGUUCAUCAGCCAAACUGUUUAGUGGAGUGUCCAUUAAAUUGUUUAGCAGACAAUGUUAACGGAUUAUGUGAAGGCUGCCAUCAUUUAGGGCUCUACUAAAUUGUUUAGCGGACUAUGUUAACCGAUAAUGUGACACUUCUAUCAUUAAGGGUAAGAAAAAAAUAUCCAAACUUCAAACUCGGUCGGCCAAACUGUUUGGUAGCAUCCGCUGAAUAAUUUAGCUGGUCCUGAUAUAUAUGUUAUGUAUAUAGGAUGCUAUUAUGAAGCUUUAUCUAGCAUAAGUGGGGACAGUUGAAACAGACCUGAGGUUCAGGAAAAUCACAUGGGAGAAGAGAACAGAACCAUAGAGGUAGGUAACUGGUAAUGGGAUUUAAGGACAUCCUCACAAGUUUUGUUCAUUUACCUAAGCACAUGAUAUCCACAAUUUUGUUGAGUUGGCUCUCACCAUCCUCUUCCUGAUUAUUGCCUAACAGAUGAACUAAUCUCUUCCUGAUUUUUGCCUACCAGAUGAACUAUCCUUUUAUGGGUUGUGAAUUGUGACUUUCUUUGUGCGAUUGGGGG
rnacentral:lncRNA from 1 species